CGUUCCUGUGAUCAAAUCUCAUCAGUGGUGCACAUGAACGAUUCUACUCUUAAUUAUAGUUCAGAAUAUUUUCUGUCUCUCUUACGGUCCAGUAGCACUAGAGUGUCUCCAUGAAAGAUGAGAAUAGACAAUCUCAUCAAGAAGGUGUAGCUAGUGAUACUCUAACUAACUAUUUUUUGUUUUCUUUUUGAAGAUAAUUGUAUACCUGC
rnacentral:lncRNA from 1 species